UACGAAGGGUGCAAGCGUUAAUCGGAAUUACUGGGCGUAAAGCGUGCGUAGGUGGUCUUUUAAGUCCGUUGUGAAAGCCCUGGGCUCAACCUGGGAAUGGCAGUGGAUACUGGAAGGCUGGAGUACGGUAGAGGAGGGUGGAAUUCCCGGUGUAGCGGUGAAAUGCGUAGAGAUCGGGAGGAACAUCAGUGGCGAAGGCGGCCCUCUGGACCAGAACUGACGCUGAGGCACGAAAGCGUGGGGAGCAAACAGG
rnacentral:rRNA from 1 species